AGUGGCGGACGGGUGAGUAACGCGUGAGAAUCUGCCUUGGGGUCGGGGACAACCACUGGAAACGGUGGCUAAUACCGGAUAAGCCGAUUGGUGAAAGAUUUAUUGCCCGAAGAGGAGCUCGCGUCUGAUUAGCUAGUUGGUGAGGUAAGAGCUCACCAAGGCAGCGAUCAGUAGCUGGUCUGAGAGGACGAUCAGCCACACUGGGACUGAGACACGGCCCAGACUCCUACGGGAGGCAGCAGUGGGGAAUUUUCCGCAAUGGGCGAAAGCCUGACGGAGCAAGACCGCGUGAGGGAGGAAGGCUCUUGGGUUGUAAACCUCUUUUCUCAGGGAAGAAGCUCUGACGGUACCUGAGGAAUCAGCCUCGGCUAACUCCGUGCCAGCAGCCGCGGUAAUACGGAGGAGGCAAGCGUUAUCCGGAAUUAUUGGGCGUAAAGCGUCCGCAGGUGGCGAUUCAAGUCUGCUGUCAAAGCACGGGGCUUAACUCCGUAAAGGCAGUGGAAACUGAAUAGCUAGAGUGCCGUAGGGGUAGAGGGAAUUCCCGGUGUAGCGGUGAAAUGCGUAGAGAUCGGGAAGAACAUCGGUGGCGAAAGCGCUCUACUGGACGGCAACUGACACUCAGGGACGAAAGCUAGGGGAGCGAAUGGGAUUGGAUACCCC
rnacentral:rRNA from 1 species